AGUGAACGCUGGCGGUAGGCCUAACACAUGCAAGUCGAACGGCAGCACAGUAAGAGCUUGCUCUUACGGGUGGCGAGUGGCGGACGGGUGAGGAAUACAUCGGAAUCUACUUUUUCGUGGGGGAUAACGUAGGUAAACUUACGCUAAUACCGCAUAUGACCUACGGGUGAAAGCAUGGGAUCUUCGGACCUUGCGCGAUUGAAUGAGCCGAUGUCGGAUUAGCUAGUUGGCGGGGUAAAGGCACACCAAGGCGACGAUCCGUAGCUGGUCUGAGAGGAUGAUCAGCCACACUGGAACUGAGACACGGCCCAGACUCCUACAGGAAGGACCAGUGGGGAAUAUUGGACAAUGGGCGCAAGCCUGAUACAGCCAUACCGCGUGGGUGAAGAAGGCCUUCGGGUUGUAAAGCCCUUUUGUUGGGAAAGAAAAGCAGCAGGUUAAUACCCAGCUGUUCUGACGGUACCCAAAGAAUAAGCACCGGCUAACUUCGUG
rnacentral:rRNA from 1 species